rnacentral:rRNA from 1 species
UGGUGGAGUGAUUUGUCUGGUUAAUUCCGUUAACGAACGAGACCUCGACCUGCUAAAUAGUUGGCAUCAUCUUUUUGAUGGUGUGAUAAACUUCUUAGAGGGACUACCGGUGUGUAGCCGAUGGAAGUUCGAGGCAAUAACA